rnacentral:lncRNA from 1 species
AUGGGCUGCAGUCCUUCCUCAGAAUCCUGGGGAGGUGGUGACAGGUCCUCCUGUGUCCCACUGAGCCUUGGGAAUCCCUCUGAUCCCUGGGGAAGCAGGUGCAGGGCAAGCCCAGUGCCAGGCUGUUGCCCUGGAUGCUGCUCGUGGUGCUGGGCUGCUCCAGGACAUGGGGUCCCAGGAGAACGGUGGCAGGACUGCCCUGGGAUGUUUGUCACCAAGCCCUGGUGCCGCUUGGACUCUCCCCCAUCCCCCAUGCCCUCAGUCGCAGUCAGAGCCAGCACCAGGGUUGGUGGCUGCUGCUGUCACGUCCUGCAGGUGGUGGGGAAGGGCAGAGAAGGUGCCUGGGCUGUACUCCGGGAGGCUCGGUGGGGCUCUGCCCCUCGGGGCACUGCUGUGGCCACGGGAGAGCCCCAGCUCCAUGGGAGCACUGACCCCCCUCCUCCAUCCCACAGGAGCCCAGCGCCGCGGAGCAGGACCGUGUGUGAGGUGAGUGCCUGUCCCCUGUCCCUGUCCCCUGCCCCUGGGACAAUGUCUGGGCGGCUGGGAGGGCACUGUCGCUGUCCCUGCCCUGCUGGGUCUCAGCUUGCUGCUGGAGAUGGAGAGAGGCUGAACCCUUCCUCCAGGGGUCGGGACGUGGCCAGCCACAGGCAGCGACCCCGGGAAAUCCCAUUUGGGUGGUGGGGAGGUGCCAUGGCCGCGGGCACCAGCCCCAUCCUGCCUCUCUCCCUCCCGCAGCUCCUCUCCGCUCCCGGCUGGAGCGUGCACGGGAGGCGCGCAGCCCCCGGGCCCCUCGGGGCUGGGGCUGUGCCGUGGGGCAGCCGCGGGGCAGCCGUGCCCGGCCCCGGGUGGGCAGCUACGCGCUUGGCAUGGCCGGAGCGACGCGCCCGCGACACCGACACCGCGCUCGGCGCCAGCCUUCAUCCCAUUGGCAAUAGGUACCCGAGUCCCACCCACCGCACCCUCCCCGGAGACCCCCCGAGGGACCCUCGGGCCUGGCAGGGGCAGGACGGCACCCGGAGCCCGCUGCCCCCGCGGCCCCCAGCUCGGGGGAAGGAUCACGGGGGGCCGCGGCGAGGGGCAGGGAUGGAGGCAGCGGCUUGA